CACAGGGUGGCCCUGCCCUGAAACUUUUUAAGUACCUUCAAGGCAUGGUGCCGACCAGUGUUGGGUGGGUCUACCUGCCACGAAUGCCAAAUAAGACUGCAAGAUCUCAGAACUCCAGAGACAAAUGCCAUGGGAAUCAGACAGGAGAGAGAGGUGUAUAGGCCUUCAGUACAGGACGGGAAAGACUUCUUUGAAGACUUUUAAUAGGCCACAUUCUUCCCUGACUCAGACAUUAUUGUGUACGUCUUAACACACAGGGCUAUUCCUCAAAUGCUUUAUGUCGAAUAUAACUGCUGAAAAAGAAUGCUCUCGCAAGGAAUAGUGAAGGAGAAAGAGGUGGACCAUUUUCUAUGGGAAGAAAAGUGUUAUCCUGGUUUGUCAAAGAAAAUAAUGUGAAUAUGCAUAAUCCACUAUAAGUAGGGAAUUAUUAAUAAAUUUGAGCUGCAAUUUGACGUGUCUGUUGUACAGAGCUGGGAACGGUAUGGAAGUAAAUGUUUUUGAAACAAAAGCAUGUUGAAAUUGCACCAACUGAAAAAAAAAAAAAUAUGCAUUGCGCAUUUUUAUGCGCCGAAAUUCAACAUGGUUGAAUAUUUAAGCUGUGAAU